UAAUGUUUCAAAUUUAUCAUUAAAAAAUUAUUAUUGUUGAUGUUUUAACCAUUUCAAAAAUACCAGUGAGAAUCUGUAAAAGAAAUUGCUCAAUACAUUUAUUAAACUGACAAGGUUUUCACAUUAAAAAUGUACUAUUCCUAAAUCUCCAACAGAUCUAGAGUGGCAAUUGGUCAACAAAAGUGACCAGUCUUUAUCUUAUCAGAAACUCUAUAUGAGUCAAAAGUUCCAAAAUUAAAAUUUUACUUACACUUGAAAAAUGUAUUAAAUACUCCAGAAAAAAGCUAGAUAUAGGUUAUGUCAUGUCCAUGAUAUGUUUGUCAGAGUUAUUGUUUUAUGAGAUUUUGUUAUGCUUGCCUUAAUUUCUGACCAAAAAUUACAUGAAAAUGUAACUUCUUUUUCAAAUAUAUUAAACAUUUCAACCUUUAGUGUUGAACAUUUUUGUCAGAAAUCUUCCUUAGGGGCUACAAGUGCUUUUAUUAAUUCCAAAAUAUUCAAGACAUUUUCGUUAUUUCAGAAAGGGUUUUUGCUGUAGGUACAUAUAAAUGUGGAGUAAGUAGUAUAAUGAUUUUAAUGUUGUCUCAUGAAAUUGAUCAAACUAUCUAAAUGUGUCAUGUGAUUUUAUCUAGGGCUAUUAAAGAAAUUGUCAAGUACUGAAACCAAAAUUACUUAAGGUCAAGGGUUAGUACAUCAAAAUGAAAAGUCACCUUAUGUUCAAAUUUUAUUAUUUAUUGUGUAUUUAUUUUUUCUAUACUAUACGUGAACAUUCAAAAUAUAAUAGAAAUAGAAAAUAGAUUUUUUAAGGUAAAAGGUUUACCGAAUUAAAAGAUUGUAUUACUAUUUGUUGGGAACUAUUAUGGGUUGAACUUGCUUGCUUUCAAAAUUUAUUUAGAAUAUUUAAUAGCAAAAUAAUGUGGCAUUGUUUAUUUUGAAUCUCACACUGUACUACUGCUCAAGUUUGGAAGACAGCAAUCUAAACAGAAUAUAACAACUGUCAUUUGAGUUAGUGCCUAGUAUUUAGAACCUAUAUCUAUAUUAGAACUUAAUAUUUAUUAUUUUUGUUUAUUUAAAGUUUUUGCACAAUCUUGACUAUAUUUACUCACUAAAUUAUCAUAUACAGUUUUGUUACAAAUAUAUUGCACAACCUAUUUAACCAUUAGUUUUAUAUAGUUUUAUUUUGAAAACUUAUUAAAUCAUAUCUUACAAUUCAAGAAAGAUUGAAAUUUCAAAUUAUGAAUUAUGAAUUAUGAAUUACAAAUUAUAAUCAUAAAUUGUGACUUUCUUUGAAUCUCUUUGAAAGAGUUAAUGCAUUUAAAUUUGCUUUUGUAUACACAAGUCACCAUACUUUAUUAAAAUCAGUGAAUAAAACAACAUUUUACUCUAAAAGAAUUUUUUUUUUCAAUAGAUAAUAAAAUUAAUGACUUGAAAGAAAUGUGGAUAGGGUAUCCUGUUUUUCAUUUUCACCAAGAAAUUAAAAAAAAAAUGGCCAGGUUGCAAUAAAAUCCACUUUUAUUAUCUCCACCUGAAUUGAAUACAUUGAUGCAUAAUUUAUCUCCCCCUGAAUUGAAAAAAAAAAGAUUUAUUUCCCCUUGAACUGAACACAAUUUAUGUAUAAUUUACCUUCCAAAAAACGGAUUAUUUAAACCAAUAAUGUGUUUAAUUACUAUGUACUUUUAUUUUUUUUUUUGUAAUUAUAACUCAUUCAGUACAAUGUAAUUUUAUUGGUAGUUUUGUUGACAACAGCAUCAUUGUUUUCCUAGCAAAUCAUAGGGAUUUAUACAACAAAAACUAAAACAAACAUCUACAUCAUUUUGUUACUGGUGCAGAGUUGUGGCAUUGGCAAUAAUAUCCGAUCUAUUCUCAUUUAAUAAAGAAAUCAAUUUUCCUUUUGUAUUUCUACAAGUAACAAUAAAUUUUCUCUCUUGAUACUAUAAUUUAGAUUUUAGCACCCAUGCUAAAUCCCAAAAAGUAAAAAAUCUGAUCUUUAAUUAUCUCGAGUAGAGAUAUAUCCAGUUCACUAGUAAGUUAUAUUGUAAACAAAUGUAUUUCCAAGAACUUCACACAAUACACUAUCAGCUUUAUAUUGAUAAACUGGCAACUUGGAAAACAUUAUACUGAAUUGGAAAAAAAUCAAACAAAACUAAUCUAUUUGAGGAUGAAGUUCAGAUUAGGUGUGUCAGUCCGUGUUAAGAGAACAAAUUCCAUUAGUCUUAUGAUACAUUUUUUGUUAAAUUUUACAAAAAAUUAUUCUGUUGUAAUAAUUUCUACUUCUUUUCAAUUUUUGUUACUUUUGUUAGUUUUUGUUAUUUUCUUAUGUUAUAAAUGUUUGUUUCUCAAAGGACUUUUUUUGGUUAGUGCAAUUUAUUUUUUCUAUACAUUUUUUGAGGUAGCCUAAAACUUUUAAGGCUUGGACAUUGUUAUUUGACACAAAGCUCCUUGUACACAAUGUAUAUUUUACUUAUCUAAAUAUAAAACAAUCAUUAUGGCAACAGUUCUGAUUCAUUUUUUUAUACCUUUAACAUUUAAUGAUUAUAAAUAAUGGAAAUCUUAAAGAAAAUCCUGCAAAAAAAUUGCCAUGUGUUUACUUGAAUUUUUCUUAGUUGAACUUUGCUCAUAAAAUAGUGUACAAAUAAUGAAAUUUGAAAUUGGGUAUUUAUAUUGAAUUGAGAUUGGGAAGUGGGUUAAGGUUUUAAAAGCACUUUUAUUUUGGUUGUGUUCAUUGAAGAUUAUUAUCGUACCUAGCAUUAGAGGAUAGGGUAUUUCUUGUAAACCUGGUUCAGUGUUGAACAAUAUAUGUUUGUGUUUACUAUAUAAUCACUUUGUAUCUACAUCUUUCAUACGUAAUAAUUUCACGAUGGUUUAAUCUAAACUUACCCGGUAUAUAGUAUAUACACAGGGAGUGACAUUUUGCAUAAUUUGAAUAUUGAUUUUACUAAUUGUAUCUCCAUGCUUUUGUACUCUUAAAAGGUGAACUCAGACAUUAGUAUAUUGAUAGGGUAAAGUAACUUGUUGAAAUAGAUGUGAUCUGAUAUAUUAAAUUUUAUUUAUCAAAAUGUUAGUACAUUUUAUCAAGUCAAAUCUAAAUUAUAUAAUGAAUAUGCAUUUCUGAAUUCUUUGCAUAAAGGCCUACUGACCAAAUAUAUCUCUAAAAUAAAAUAAGAUAUCUUUACAUUGAUACAGUCUAUCUGGUUUGAAGUAAAUCAUUAAGAAAUCUUGAAAUCUAUCUACUGUUACUGUGAACAGCACAUAUAUUGCACAGGAAUAAAAGCUUAAAAUGAUAAUUUGCUUCAAUUAGAACUUUAGAUUUUUAUUUAUUUUGAAUUUUAGAGUUAGGGUGCAUUACUUUGGUAUAUUAAAUGAUAUUUAAAUGCUUUUCAGUCACAUAUCAGUUUAACUUUUUGCUCUAUCAAGUGUAGUUGAUACAGUUUCAGGGGAGAUAACAUUUCAAAGCCUAGUGUCCUACUACUAUUAUUAGAGUUUACUGUCAAAGUUUUUUUGCUUGUGGUUAUAUUGUAAUAAUCAAAUCACAGAAAAGAGAAUCUAAAAAGUUCAAGUUAAUUUACAGUGUACAAAGGAAAUGUUUUGUCAUUUAUAAUGAAAUUGGGAGUAUAUUGUUUUUUGGCAGAUUUAUUUUCUUUUUUGAAAUUUUGUCAAAAUUUACAUUUUUGGCAUGUUAUACCAAAAUUUAAUCAAAUUUUAAAACAAACCAGUUUUGCCUACAUGUACUUUUAUUUUCCUCUGCUAAAACAAAUUUAAUCAGAGUUUUCCGUUAAAUUGUAUUGCCAAAAAGUAUCAGUUUUUGAAGAAAAAAAAAUAACUUGUAAAAAAAGUUAUAUAAAAUAACAAAUAUUGUUUUUAGUCACAUUUUAAAAUCAAGGUAUGUAGCAUAGGUUUUAUUUCAUCUCAAACUGUAUUGACUCCCCAAUAUAUAUAUGCAAUCAAUUAGGUGGCAUUUAGAGAGUUCUAUAUGAUAAAAUAUUGUAAGUUAAAUAACAUUAAACACUUUGUAAAGAAUGUGACAUUAUUUUAUUGAUUUAUCUAUAUUGAAUUUGUUUUAUAUUCAUACAUCUUGAAAAGAAACCAUUAGAUGAUGAUAACAAAAUGUUUAUUAGCAAUUCUCCUGUCUUGAGUUCAUCAAAUUUUCACAGACAUCUUUUUCACUUUGGAAUUGUAGAUUCAAUUGUAAAUCUACUACAUGUACCACAUAUCAAAUUGGGUGAAUCAUAUAUUUGUAUACAAAUGGCAUAUUGCAAAAAUAAGUAGCUUUAAAAAAAUGCUUGUAGAAAUUAAAAAAUAAUCAAUGAAUAUUCCCCAUAAAGACUUGAUUGGCAUUGAUAUUUAACACCUUACACUUACACGUUUUAUUUUAAAUAGUGCAAUAAAUAUAGUGAUCUUUACUAAUAAAUACAAAAAAGUAUUAAUAGUAGCAACUAGCAAUUAAUUUUUGGUUGGUAGAAAUUAAUACCAGCUGUUAAUUGUUUUUAGUUUAAUACAGUACAACUAUCAAUUCAUAAGAUAGAUAUAGUUUUUGACUGUUUCAAAGUUAACAAUAGGUCAGAAUAAGGGAUGAAUUAAAAUCUGUCAAAAGUAUAUGUGUUGUCCCUAAAUAAAAAUGUUCAUAUUAAUGUCUUCACCUAGUUUAGAACUAAUAUUGAAUUAUGUAGUUAUGCAAAUAAAUUAUGACAAUGAA
rnacentral:lncRNA from 1 species